rnacentral:rRNA from 1 species
UGGGGAAUAUUGGACAAUGGGCGAAAGCCUGAUCCAGCCAUGCCGCGUGUGUGAAGAAGGUCUUCGGAUUGUAAAGCACUUUAAGUUGGGAGGAAGGGCAGUAAGUUAAUACCUUGCUGUUUUGACGUUACCAACAGAAUAAGCACCGGCUAACUUCGUGCCAGCAGCCGCGGUAAUACGAAGGGUGCAAGCGUUAAUCGGAAUUACUGGGCGUAAAGCGCGCGUAGGUGGUUUGGUAAGAUGGAUGUGAAAUCCCCGGGCGCAACCUGGGAACUGCAUCCAUAACUGCCUGACUAGAGUACGGUAGAGGGUGGUGGAAUUUCCUGUGUAGCGGUGAAAUGCGUAGAUAUAGGAAGGAACACCAGUGGCGAAGGCGACCACCUGGACUGAUACUGACACUGAGGUGCGAAAGCGUGGGGAGCAAACA